UAAACGGUGGGCGCUAGUUGUGGGACCUUCCACGGUUUCUGCGACGCAGCUAACGCAUUAAGCGCCCCGCCUGGGGAGUACGAUCGCAAGAUUAAAACUCAAAGGAAUUGACGGGGCCCCGCACAAGCAGCGGAGCAUGCGGCUUAAUUCGACGCAACGCGAAGAACCUUACCAAGGCUUGACAUAUACAGGAAUAUGGCAGAGAUGUCAUAGCGGUAAAACGUCUGUAUACAGGUGGUGCAUGGUUGUCGUCAGCUCGUGUCGUGAGAUGUUGGGUUAAGUCCCGCAACGAGCGCAACCCUCGUUCUGUGUUGCCAGCAUUUAGUUGGGGACUCACAGGAGACUGCCGGGGUUAACUCGGAGGAAGGUGGGGAUGACGUCAAAUCAUCAUGCCCCUUAUGUCUUGGGCUGCACGCAUGCUACAAUGGCUGGUACAAAGGGUUGCCAACCCGCGAGGGGGAGCUAAUCCCACAAAGCCAGUCGUAGUCCGGAUCGUAGUCUGCAACUCGACUACGUGAAGUCGGAAUCGCUAGUAAUCGUGGAUCAGAAUGUCACGGUGAUACGUUCCCGG
rnacentral:rRNA from 1 species